rnacentral:tRNA from 1 species
GCCCGAGUGGCGAAAUGGCAGACGCGGCGGACUCAAAAUCCGUUGGUGGCAACACCGUGUGGGUUCGACUCCCUCCUCGGGCA